CCUACGGGUGGCAGCAGUGGGGAAUAUUGGACAAUGGGCGAAAGCCUGAUCCAGCCAUGCCGCGUGUGUGAAGAAGGCCUUCGGGUUGUAAAGCACUUUCAGUGGGGAAGAAAGCCUUGGGGCUAAUACCCUCGAGGAAGGACAUCACCCACAGAAGAAGCACCGGCUAACUCCGUGCCAGCAGCCGCGGUAAUACGGAGGGUGCGAGCGUUAAUCGGAAUUACUGGGCGUAAAGCGCGCGUAGGCGGUCUGAUAAGCCGGUUGUGAAAGCCCCGGGCUCAACCUGGGAACGGCAUCCGGAACUGUCAGGCUAGAGUGCAGGAGAGGAAGGUAGAAUUCCCGGUGUAGCGGUGAAAUGCGUAGAGAUCGGGAGGAAUACCAGUGGCGAAGGCGGCCUUCUGGACUGACACUGACGCGGAGGUGCGAAAGCGUGGGUAGCAAACAGGAUUAGAUACCCGGGUAGUC
rnacentral:rRNA from 1 species